rnacentral:lncRNA from 10 species
GCUGGGUCCUAGAGCCUGUGGCCCACUGGCUUGCCUCACUGUGGUUGGUGGUGGUGGUGACAGAGACUGCAGGACGACCAGAUGGCUUUUCCGGCUUUGCCCGCCCAGCUGCUCUGUGCCAGGAAGAGGAGGAGACACCUAGAGCCUGCGACACCAUGGCUCGCCUCGCUGCGGGUGGGCGGCAGUGACGUAGCCUGCAGUGCGCCAGAGUGGUAGGAGAGCGGCUGCACUAGGAGGGCAGGCGGCUGCAGCCAGGGUUGGGGGUCAGGCUUAGAGCGAUGGACGGGCUGCAGCAGUGGCCAGGUGGUAGGAGCCUUGUAGGGAGGGCUGGUGCAUUGGCAAUGGGCC